rnacentral:rRNA from 1 species
GAUCAAUGGCUCAGAUUGAACGCUGGCGGCAUGCCUUACACAUGCAAGUCGAACGGCAGCACGGACUUCGGUCUGGUGGCGAGUGGCGAACGGGUGAGUAAUAUAUCGGAACAUACCCUAGAGUGGGGGAUAACGUAGCGAAAGUUACGCUAAUACCGCAUACGAACUAAGGUUGAAAGCGGGGGAUCUUCGGACCUCGUGCUCAUGGAGUGGCCGAUAUCUGAUUAGCUAGUUGGUGAGGUAAAGGCUCACCAAGGCGACGAUCAGUAGCUGGUUUGAGAGAACGACCAGCCACACUGGAACUGAGACACGGUCCAGACUCCUACGGGAGGCAGCAGUGGGGAAUUUUGGACAAUGGGCGCAAGCCUGAUCCAGCAAUGCCGCGUGAGUGAAGAAGGCCUUCGGGUUGUAAAGCUCUUUUGUCAGGGAAGAAACGGUGAGUCCUAAUAUGGCUUGCUAAUGACGGUACCUGAAGAAUAAGCACCGGCUAACUACGUG